GACCUAACCCUUGCAGUGCGAGCUUCAAGGUAUGGUUAAAAAGUCGGAUAAGGCAUAAAAAACCCAACGUGUUGUUGCCUUAUCCGCCGUAUCGGGAAACCGAUAUGUCCUCGCAAGAGGA
rnacentral:sRNA from 1 species